rfam:Pseudogymnoascus pannorum VKM F-4519 (FW-2642) contig_3310, whole genome shotgun sequence.
UCCGGUAUAGUGUAGGGGUUAACAUAACCCGCUUUCAAGAAAUUUUCUCUGGAGCCGGGUAGCCCCGGGUUCGAUUCCCGGUACCGGAA